UUGCCUGCCACUCAUCAGCUGAUCUGGAAUGUCCAUAACUGAACUAGGUAGAUUAGGAAAAGAACCAACGGUUAUUUUGUAUCAACAUCAUCCUCGUUCGUAGCAAAUCUCCUUGGAGUUUGCCCACAAAAUAUCAGCCAAAUCUGGAUGUAGAGAGUGACUUGGACCAAUAUCAAAAUUAGCAGCCCUCGCCUUAUUAGCCAGAUAAUUAGCAGAUUUGUUUCCUUCACAAAAAAUGUAAGUUAUGUGAAAAGUUUGAAAGCAGUGUCUCCACACAAAUAAGUCCUGGAUGACAAGAUCGAGGUAAUUUCUCUCUGAAUGACAGUUAGAGAGUCAUCCUCCAACUAAAAUAAGGCAACUUUAACCCCCAACCAUGCGGCUGCUAGUCCUACAAAUGGCACCAUAGAGGGUGGCAAAAUUUUGCCUCUAGCUCUCGAAAGAGUCCCCUUAUUUAUGAUCCCUAAUAAUGAAAGCAGCCGCAGCCUCAUUAAAGGACACUGAUGCAUCAAAAUUAAGGUCAAGAACCCCCGU
rnacentral:lncRNA from 1 species